GACAAGAUGGCCGAGGGGUUUAAGGCGCCAGACUUAAGAUCAAUAAUUUCUCUUCCUCCUUAAAAGGAAGAAUCUUUACUUCUGGUAUCGAAAGAUGCGUGGGUUCGAAUCCCGCUCUUGUCA